CCCUUCCCACAAGCAUUGGGUCCGAGUAAGGUUGGAUCCAAGUGAAGUUGAAAUUGAAUCUUGACAUGUGGUGGAGUGUUGCCUUUGGGGUACUGGGAGUUUUUGCUAUGGUUUCAGGGUUUGAUGUUUUUAUCAAUUUUUGUAAGCCUCCCAGGUUUAUGGUAUGUAAAAUGUAUGUAAGAGCUGCUAGCUGUGAGUUCAAGGGGACUGAGACAAUGAAGUCCAAUGAAGCCAGUUACUAGUUAUAGAAAUACAAGAUUUCUUCUGUCUCAGUUACAGAAACCUAGCAUUCAACAUUCAUCCUUCUUCUAAAUUGGAGCAGCUUUGGCUGAAGAGUCUUCAAAGAUCCCUCUUUAUGCUUUGCACUAUAUAGCAUCUCUUUUAGUGUAUUAAAGCUCUUCCUUUCCCCCUUUUCCUUUUUAAUAAACCAUGUGGUUUAAACAUC